GUGAAUCAUCAAAUUUUUGAACGCAAAUUGCACUCUCUUCGGAGCGUAUGACUGUUUGAGGGUCAGCCUAUAAAAAAUCGACGAAGUUGCUGUUUCGCGGUGACGUUCGUCGGUAUUUGGGUCAUUUUAACUCCUUUUGGUUUUAAGCGACUUAACAAUUUCUUUUUGGUUCCAUGUAUGUUUCUAAGAUUUAUUUCUUUACUCGUUUAAGUUAUCGAUUUUUAUUAGACGUGACCAUCAUAUUGGACCGCGUUCAUAAUCUUUCAUUAACU
rnacentral:misc_RNA from 1 species